GAUAGGAAAUGAGAAAAGAUGAGAAAAAAACGAAACUUUAGGGCAUUAACACUCUCAAUUUGGUAGUUCAUGGUGGUUGAGAUAUUGAUGUCAAUGGCAAAAUUGUAAAUAUUUGGUGAAGAUGAGGAUGGUAAGGUAAAAUCAUUAUUUUCGAAAAGAAAAAAAGUAAUGGCAUUUUCGUGAAUAACUAGAACUUCUAGGGUGAAUAGGACAAAACAAAGUUUCAAAUAAAGCAUAGGUUAUUUUUGUGUUUGACUUGACAUUUUGAGUCAUAUUUGAAAGAACCCCUUACUUUUAUUGUUUACAUGUUACUAAAAAAUAUCAAAGUUUUGUUUUUGGUUUAUUUUAAUUUUUAAAUUUAGUUUCAUUAUUCAUAUUAGAUAUUUAAAUAUUUAUUUAUUUUUAUUUUUAUGUAUUUUUAUUAUAUAUCU
rnacentral:lncRNA from 1 species